rnacentral:lncRNA from 1 species
AUGGGUUUCCGUCUGCCCGCUGUAAUUCCUGCGAAGAAGCUUCUUCGGCGGUCUUUUUCAAAUACAAACAGAGGAGCUUCAAUUAAUCUAGCGGAUGUCCCAAAAGGUUAUUUUGCAGUUUAUGUUGGGGAGAGUGAAAAGCAGCGAUUCGUCGUUCCUAUAUCAUUCCUCAACCAGUCUGUGUUUCAAGAGUUGCUAAGCGAGGCUGAAGAAGAAUUCGGAUUUGAUCAUCCAAUGGGUGAUCUGACAAUUCCCUGCAGACAAGAUGCCUUCCUUGAUCUCAUUUCUCACUUGAAUUCAUUGUGGGGGCGAUGGAGAGCAAUUACAUGA